rnacentral:rRNA from 1 species
GACGAACGCUGGCGGCGUGCCUAAUACAUGCAAGUAGAACGCUGAAGAGAGGAGCUUGCUCUUCUUGGAUGAGUUGCGAACGGGUGAGUAACGCGUAGGUAACCUGCCUUGUAGCGGGGGAUAACUAUUGGAAACGAUAGCUAAUACCGCAUAACAAUGGAUGACACAUGUCAUUUAUUUGAAAGGGGCAAUUGCUCCACUACAAGAUGGACCUGCGUUGUAUUAGCUAGUAGGUGAGGUAAUGGCUCACCCAGGCGACGAUACAUAGCCGACCUGAGAGGGUGAUCGGCAAAACUGGGACGGAGACACGGCCCAGACGCCUACGGGAGGCAGCAGUAGGGAAUCUUCGGCAAUGGGGGCAAACCUGACCGAGCAACGCCGCGUGAGUGAAGAAGGUUUUCGGAUCGUAAAGCUCUGUUGUAAGUCAAGAACGGGUGUGAGAGUGGAAAGUUCACACUGUGACGGUAGCUUACCAGAAAGGGACGGCUAACUACGUG